AUUGAACGCUGGCGGCAGGCCUAACACAUGCAAGUCGAACGGUAACAGGAAGAAGCUUGCUUCUUUGCUGACGAGUGGCGGACGGGUGAGUAAUGUCUGGGAAACUGCCUGAUGGAGGGGGAUAACUACUGGAAACGGUAGCUAAUACCGCAUAACGUCGCAAGACCAAAGAGGGGGACCUUCGGGCCUCUUGCCAUCGGAUGUGCCCAGAUGGGAUUAGCUAGUAGGUGGGGUAACGGCUCACCUAGGCGACGAUCCCUAGCUGGUCUGAGAGGAUGACCGGCCACACUGGAACUGAGACACGGUCCAGACUCCUGCGGGAGGCAGCAGUGGGGAAUAUUGCACAAUGGGCGCAAGCCUGAUGCAGCCAUGCCGCGUGUAUGAAGAGGGCCUUCGGGUUGUAAAGUACUUUCAGCGGGGAGGAAGGGAGUAAAGUUAAUACCUUUACUCAUUGACGUUACCCGCAGAAGAAGCACCGGCUAACUCCGUG
rnacentral:rRNA from 1 species